rnacentral:rRNA from 1 species
AGACACGGCCCAGACUCCUACGGGAGGCAGCAGUGGGGAAUUUUGGACAAUGGGCGCAAGCCUGAUCCAGCAAUGCCGCGUGAGUGAAGAAGGCCUUCGGGUUGUAAAGCUCUUUUGUCAGGGAAGAAACGGUGGGAGCUAAUAUCUCCCACUAAUGACGGUACCUGAAGAAUAAGCACCGGCUAACUACGUGCCAGCAGCCGCGGUAAUACGUAGGGUGCAAGCGUUAAUCGGAAUUACUGGGCGUAAAGCGUGCGCAGGCGGUUUUGUAAGUCUGAUGUGAAAUCCCCGGGCUCAACCUGGGAAUUGCAUUGGAGACUGCAAGGCUAGAGUUUGGCAGAGGGGGGUAGAAUUCCACGUGUAGCAGUGAAAUGCGUAGAUAUGUGGAGGAACACCGAUGGCGAAGGCAGCCCCCUGGGUCAAGACUGACGCUCAUGCACGAAAGCGUGGGGAGCAAACAGGAUUAGAUACCCUGGUAGUCCACGCCCUAAACGAUGUCUACUAGUUGUCGGGUCUUAAUUGACUUGGUAACGCAGCUAACGCGUGAAGUAGACCGCCUGGGGAGUACGGUCGCAAGAUUAAAACUCAAAGGAAUUGAC